GGCCAGACUCCUACGGGAGGCAGCAGUGGGGAAUCUUGCACAAUGGGCGAAAGCCUGAUGCAGCGACGCCGCGUGGGCGAAGAAGGCCUUUGGGCCGUAAAGCCCUGUCGGGAGGGAAGAAGGAAGCGACGGUACCUCCCAAGGAAGCCCCGGCUAACUACGUGCCAGCAGCCGCGGUAACACGUAGGGGGCGAGCGUUAUCCGGAAUCAUUGGGCGUAAAGGGUGCGUAGGCGGGGACGCAAGUCAGAUGUGAAAAUCACGGGCUCAACCUGUGGCCUGCAUUUGAAACUGUGUUUCUUGAGUACUGGAGAGGCAGACGGAAUUCCUAGUGUAGCGGUGAAAUGCGUAGAUAUUAGGAGGAACACCAGUGGCGAAGGCGGUCUGCUGGACAGCAACUGACGCUGAGGCGCGAAAGCGUGGGGAGCAAACAGGAUUAGAUACCCCAGUA
rnacentral:rRNA from 1 species